rnacentral:rRNA from 1 species
GACGAACGCUGGCGGCGUGCUUAACACAUGCAAGUCGAACGGAAAGGCCCUGCUUGCAGGGUGCUCGAGUGGCGAACGGGUGAGUAACACGUGGGUGAUCUGCCCCUUACUUUGGGAUAAGCCUGGGAAACUGGGUCUAAUACUGGAUAGGACCAUGCUGGAGGUGGUGUGGUGGAAAGAUUAGUUUCGGUAAGGGAUGAGCUCGCGGCCUAUCAGCUUGUUGGUGGGGUAAUGGCCUACCAAGGCGUCGACGGGUAGCCGGCCUGAGAGGGUGGACGGCCACAUUGGGACUGAGAUACGGCCCAGACUCCUACGGGAGGCAGCAGUGGGGAAUAUUGCACAAUGGGCGCAAGCCUGAUGCAGCGACGCCGCGUGGGGGAUGACGGCCUUCGGGUUGUAAACUCCUUUCAGCCAUGACGAAGCCCUUGUGGUGACGGUAGUGAUAGAAGAAGCACCGGCUAACUACGUG